rnacentral:rRNA from 1 species
UACGAAGGGGCUAGCGUUGUUCGGAAUCACUGGGCGUAAAGCGCGCGUAGGCGGCUUAGCAAGUCAGAGGUGAAAUGCCGGGCUUAACCCCGGAACUGCCUUUGAAACUGCUAAGCUUGAGACUCGGAGGGAGUGGGAAUUCUAAUGUAGCGGUGAAUGCGUAGAUAUUAGAAGGAACACCGGUGGCGAAGGCGCCACUCUGGACGAGUACUGACGCUGAGGCGCGAAAGCGUGGGAUCAACAGG